rnacentral:ncRNA from 1 species
CGUUUACCACGGGAGUCCGGUGAAGCGCCGGGCUGAGAGGAGGGCUCGCAAGCCCUCGACCGUCCACCUGAUCCGGGUCAUACCGGCGUAGGGAGAGGUUUGCUGUGAGAA